rnacentral:rRNA from 1 species
GGGGAAUCUUCCGCAAUGGGCGCAAGCCUGACGGAGCAAUACCGCGUGAGGGAUGACGGCCCUUGGGUUGUAAACCUCUUUUAUCAAGGAGGAAGUUCUGACGUGUACUUGAUGAAUAAGCAUCGGCUAACUCCGUGCCAGCAGCCGCGGUAAGACGGAGGAUGCAAGUGUUAUCCGGAAUCACUGGGCGUAAAGCGUCUGUAGGUGGUUCGAAAAGUCCACUGUUAAAAAUUGAGGCUUAACUUCAAAGAUGCCGUGGAAACUUUCAAACUAGAGUAUGGUAGGGGUAGAGGGAAUUUCCAGUGGAGCGGUGAAAUGCGUAGAUAUUGGAAAGACCACCGAUGGCGAAGGCACUCUACUGGGCCAUUACUGACACUGAGAGACGAAAGCUAGGGGAGCAAAGGGAUUAGAUACCCCUGUAGUC